CCAUAUUCACCCAUUUAUUUAAAGGGGUUUUUUCCCUAAAGUGUAUUUGCAAAUACACUAUGAGGCUAGAGGUUGCCAGAGGCCAUUAGAGAGGAGGCAUGGAAAGCCCCCUGGAGAGCAAGAAGAAGGCUGGAACCUGGGCCAAGGCAGCCCAGGACUGAGAGCCAAGUAAGCAUGGGAAUUGUCCCAGCUAUAGUUUCUGGGAAAAUAAAUAGGCCUACCUGUUGACUUUUGACCUGCAGACUCCGUUCUUGCAAAAGGCAAACCAGACCAUACACUUUGGGGAUUCCCGCAAGAAGAUUCCUAAAACUGAAACUGGGGACUCUAGGAGGACACACAUCAUUAAGGAACUGGGCUUUCCUCUGAAGAGACUACCAAUUUGCAUUCCACCUACAAUGGAUGAGAAUCUCCAUCCUCCAAAGAUGAAAAAGAGGAUAUUAUCAUUCUUUUUAAUCUUUGCCAUCUGGAAGUUGCAUUCUGCUGAGCCCAGGAGUUAGAGAACAGACCACAGAGAUUUAAGUUCUCACUUGCGGGAAGUAGAUUUCAGUCCGCAUCCCAGCUCUGAAGCCCCAUUUCUCCUGGUGUAAAAUGAGAAGUGUCAGACAUCAUGCUCCAGAGACAGGAAAACCAACUAGUACAUGGAACUAAUUGAUGGAACUUUGAGCCACCAACCUGGACCAAUCCAACCUGGAUUUCUGGGGAGAAAAUCUGUGCAAUAUGUCUCAUCAGCCUGGAUUUCUAGAAGGAAGAAGCUGUUCCAAGCACAGUGCAAUUCCAGAGCUUCCCAGUGAAGAGGGCAACAGAGCAGAGUCUGGCUUCCUCUUGCUCUUGCAGAGGAAUGUUCCCAGAGGUGGAAACUCCAGCUCAGAAAAGUGAAGUAUCUUGACUCACCAUGAUUUCACAGCAAGUAAGAGAGAAGUUUGGCUCCGAGAGUCCCUCUUUACUGCCUCAGUGUGAGGCCCAAAGCCGAGGUGCUGGAGUCAGAUUGCCUGGGCUCACACCUGCCUCUGUCCCAGGACUGACCACAUAACCUUGAGAGUUCAGGCUGCCUACAGUAGUGUUAGAAAAUGAAGGUCCUAUGAUUGGACUGUGGUUUGUCAGCUGGGACACUCAUGUUGGAGUGUGGUUACCACGGCAGCUGAGCUAAGAGGCGGAGCCUCAAGGGAGGUGUUUAGGUCAUGGGGGAAGCGCCAUCACAAAGAGAUUAAUGCUUUUUCUCUGACUGACCUUUCACGGGCACAGGACUGGAUUAUUUUGAGAGUAGGCUAUUCUCUUUUCCAGCCACACAUGGCCCUCACCAGAUGUGGUCAUCCAAUUUUGUACUUUACAGCCUUCAUAACCAUGGACCCAAUAAACCUUUUUUUCUUUAUAAAUUACCCAUUCUCAGGUAUUCUAUUACAGUAACAGAAAGUGGACAAGACCAAGUUAUAACUGCACUCACCUUAUAGGGUUUUGCUGGGGUUAAAUCUGAUACAGCAUGUUCAGGGGUCAAAAGAGCAUUUGGUGCAGUAUCUUCUGGAAAUGGGUCUACACAGAUGUUUGUUCUUAAAUCCCACUAGCCAUGUGGGUGAGAGUAGGUAAACAGAAAUAAAGAGUACAGAAAUACAGUCAAGUUUGAGACAGGGAAGUCAUGUGCAACAUCUACAUAUAGUGGGACAGUCAUUUCCCAGGAAGACUAGAAACCACUGCCAUACAUGCUGGAGUGUUUCUAGCCUUUUGCAGUUUCUAGAUCCUUGCCUAAAAUGUGCAGAAAAUUCCAUAGC
rnacentral:lncRNA from 1 species